CCUGAGCAGAAUAAGAGAGGCUGGGGGAGCCCAGCUGUGCUGUGGCUCAGAGGCAGAGCUGUGGGGGUGUCACCAUGGCCUGGAGCCCUCUCCUGCUCCCCCUCCUCACUCUCUGCACAGGUUCCGUGUUUUCCUAUGAGCUGACACAGCUGUUCUCGGUGUCAGUGUCCCUAGGACAGACAGCAAGGAUCACCUGUUCCGGUGAUAAACUUGACAAAGAAUACAUCUACUGGUACCAGCAGAAAGCAGGCCAGGCCCCUGUGCUGGUGAUAUAUAAAGAUAGUGAGCGGCCCUCAGGGAUCCCUGAGCCGUUCUCUGGGUCAAGCUCAGGGAACACGGCCACCCUGACCAUCAGCGGGUCCCAGGCUGGGGAUGAGGCCUACUAUUACUGUGCCAGACCUGAUGGCAGUGGGAGCAGCUGGCAGUGA